rfam:Cavia porcellus supercont2_9 genomic scaffold, whole genome shotgun sequence.
GGGGAUUUAGCUCAGCGACAUAAGCGCCUGCCUUGCAAGCAGGCAGUCGUUCAAUCCCCG